rnacentral:tRNA from 1 species
GUGCCUAUAAUUUAAAAAAAUACUAGACUGUGAUUCUAGAAAUGAAGGUUAAACUCUUUCUAUGCACC